ACUAAAUUAGUUUAUAAAGAACGUUAGAUUGUGGUUCUAAUAGUAAAAGUAUUUUUAUUUAGUA
rnacentral:tRNA from 2 species